AGAACGAACGCUGGCGGCAUGCCUAAUACAUGCAAGUCGAACGAACUCUUCGGAGUUAGUGGCGCACGGGUGCGUAACGCGUGGGAAUCUGCCCUUGGGUUCGGAAUAACAGUUGGAAACGACUGCUAAUACCGGAUGAUGACGAAAGUCCAAAGAUUUAUCGCCCAGGGAUGAGCCCGCGUAGGAUUAGCUAGUUGGUGAGGUAAAGCUCACCAAGGCACGAUCCUUAGCUGGUCUGAGAGGAUGAUCAGCCACACUGGGACUGAGACGACGGCCCUAGACCUCCGUACGGGACGCAGCGAGGUAGGGAAUAGUUGGACAAGUGGGACGAAAGCCUAGGUACUCCCGAG
rnacentral:rRNA from 1 species